UACGUAGGGUGCGAGCGUUGUCCGGAAUUAUUGGGCGUAAAGGGCUCGUAGGCGGUUUGUCGCGUCGGGAGUGAAAACACCGGGCUUAACUCGGUGCUUGCUUUCGAUACGGGCAGACUAGAGGUAUGCAGGGGAGAACGGAAUUCCUGGUGUAGCGGUGAAAUGCGCAGAUAUCAGGAGGAACACCGGUGGCGAAGGCGGUUCUCUGGGCCGUAACUGACGCUGAGGAGCGAAAGCGUGGGGAGCGAACAGG
rnacentral:rRNA from 1 species